rnacentral:rRNA from 1 species
UACGAAGGGGGCUAGCGUUGCUCGGAAUGACUGGGCGUAAAGGGCGCGUAGGCGGAAUGUUUUGUCGGGCGUGAAAUUCCAGGGCUUAACCUUGGGGCUGCGUUCGAGACGGGCAUUCUAGAGUUUGGAAGAGGGUCGUGGAAUUCCCAGUGUAGAGGUGAAAUUCGUAGAUAUUGGGAAGAACACCGGUGGCGAAGGCGGCGACCUGGUCCUUGACUGACGCUGAGGCGCGAAAGCGUGGGGAGCAAACAGG